ensembl:lncRNA
AUAAAAAGAGGGAAUAUAUUGGCGAAAUGGGCAUAUAUUGUUUUCUUUUUCUUAAAAGUGUAGUUUUAAAUAAUGUGUGCUGUUUAAGUGUAUUUUUCCUCUCUGUGAAGACACAAAUGGCCCACAUAUAUUAAACAGAUUUUAAGGGAAUGCGAAGUGGGAGUAAAUGUGGGGCUGUAAACAUCCUGACUUACCUAUAAAGAUGCCAGUGGCUACUGCAGACUGCAGCGUCAUGGCGGAUCAACUCAGCAGAGUGAGCAGCUCACACACCCUUCUGGUCUAGCAGCACUAACACAGGCCGAUAAAUGCCUGCAAGGAGAAAACAGACAAGGCUAGAAACGCCAUCAUAUGUUCUGACUUCAUAAACCUUGUAACCCGCAGGACAGGCGCGCUGUUUCAGACUAGCUGCGCUGCACGACGCGGGCUGACAGGUAUUCUCUGAGGGAAAAUGAGGGCUUUCCAACACACGUUCAAAAACAGGGCUCGACGUCUGCAGACGGGACGAGAAGAAGACACUUAAAUGUUUUACUGCCGUGUCCGUCGCCCCAGUUCGCCCGUUUUAGAACAGCUACAUGAACAGCUUUGCUAACUUGCUCUAGCGCAGUGCUGGGAAGGACGCGGGGACGCGCAGCAGCGUGAACGAGCGUCACUGCAUGCGGGAUAACUGUCCCGUAAGAGGACGAACAGCAUCGAUAUCACUUUUUAGUCCACGAAACCAUCUGCUUUUACCUUAAAAACGAAUCCACGGUGUCCGCGAGGUCUUCUGUGCUUCUGACCAGCCUGAGCUUUCCAGCGUUUCUACCACCUUCACUCAGUGAGGAGGGUCGCUGCUCAGAGCGCUCAGACAGAUGAUGCUGAGGAACCGAGCACUGGCCCACAGACAAGGGCGACCCAAGGGCUGAGUCCUUCACCUGCUGGACAUCGAGAUCCCUCAGUUCAGCUCCAGUCCUGAUCCACCUCAUCAAAGAUAUCAGGACAUCGCACUGUAAACUCGAAUGGUGAGUCGAGAUGGUGGGAAUGGAACAGGGUAAAGAGGAACAGUCAAGCCAGUGCUGAGAGAAAUGGAGAUGGAGAUUCGGCUCUUUUCUCUGUCUACCUCCUCAUCUUUCAUGAACCCUUUCGUGUUCUUGUUCUUUUCUCUGUUAUUCCAUCAUCCUCGUCUUCCUCAUUUUUCUUCUCUUCCUGCUCUUUAGACAGCACCUGUGGCAUACAGUAUUAACUUGCUUUAAACACAGUACAUCACACAAAACACCACACUAGCACUGGAGUUCAGUAAAAUUGGUGUGCCACCACACCCACACACCUCAGAGCUCCUGCUCUUUCUGCAGGGAUAGCUGGUGCCAAGACUUUUUUAAUAGAAUCAGGUUUUCCAGGAACUGCACCCUAUCCUCUCCCGUUUUACACUCCUGCAAGUAUGUAGCUGAAAUACAAACAAACACAACCAUAAAGAGUUGUUCAUAUCUGAC